rnacentral:rRNA from 1 species
UACAGAGGGGGCAAGCGUUGUUCGGAAUUACUGGGCGUAAAGGGCGCGUAGGCGGCCUUCUAAGUCGAACGUGAAAUCCCCGGACUCAACCCGGGAACUGCGUCCGAUACUGGAAGGCUUGAAUCCGGGAGAGGGAUGCGGAAUUCCAGGUGUAGCGGUGAAAUGCGUAGAUAUCUGGAGGAACACCGGUGGCGAAGGCGGCAUCCUGGACCGGUAUUGACGCUGAGGCGCGAAAGCCAGGGGAGCAAACGGG